rnacentral:lncRNA from 1 species
UUUUUUUUUUGGAGAGAUAGGUAGCACGCUACCCGCUUCAUUUGUUUCAUUUAGAAAUAAACUUAGCUGGAAAUGUGAAUCAAUUAGGAUUCGAACUUGGGUCUCGGGUACCAACCACUAAGCCCUUUGCCACUUGCUCUAGAGACGGUCGGUGAAUUCAAAAGUUAUUAAAUACCUAUUUCGAUAUAAAGAAUACUUUUCUACUAGUACGGUUCAACAUAAAAAUACUUUUUGCUACAAAUGCUUUUAGAAUUUGAGAAAAAAUUGAAGUUUUUUUUCGCUGUGUUUUAGCAGAAAACGAAAACUCAAACUAUGUAAAAAAAAUUUUCAUUCAUAUUUUUUUCACCGAACCAAACAAAUAUGAAUUCUUUUUUUCAUAUCUGAAUACAUUAAGACUUUUGCAAGAUAAAGUUAGGUUUUUGAUUCAUCAUGUUUGUAGGGACAUGUAUGCAAUUAAUCUUUAAUUUUAUAUCACAAAAAUUUAGGAUUUCAAAAUAAUUUUAUAUUAUGUAAUCUAAGACUUUAUAUUAUUUAUUGUAUAU